CUCUGUGCUCGUGGUCGGAGCCUGCGGCUGGUGCGUGUUUCCUCACGUGGCUGAACACACUGUUCCCAUUCUUGUUUACGUCUUCCCAACCACAUUCUUGGCGACGCGACUCAUUGCUGGAAGUGAACGCUUGCGAUGGAGUCGUCGUGGGGUUUAACUCCGUGUUGGAGCUGACUCGUUUAAAAGUGCACAGGCCGUACGUCCUGGAUCUGACGAAAGACUUCUUAUUAUGUCCAUUCUUGGUUUUAGAAAUAUUCCCAUGCUCAUCAUCACAAGCAGCAGGAGUUCGCUCCGGUUUCCCUCGAUGUUCAUCAUCCUUCUCGGUGGAUCGAGGCGAUCCGCGUCUUCUACAGUCCACUUUGGAAAAGUUGCUACCGUUUGUAAAGUUUGGGAAUUUAAAUCGCCUGAAAGAAUUCCUCACAUCCCCGGGAGAUCUCGGAGCAGGGGCGACUGUUUCCUCCGGCGACUCGGUUUCUCUUUUGGAAACGUUUAUUUCGACCACACACACAGCUGUGCAACCUGUUCUCACACUGGAGCCUGACCCUGAUCACUGACCCCCUAGCAGAAGCUAGAGCUGCAGAGCCGUCCCCUGCACUGUAAAGCAAACUUGGAGUGCGGACAGAGUCCCCCUCUGGCCUCCCCCCGUUGCGUUGCAACGUCAGCGCGGAGGUGGCUGUACCAAGCCAAGCCUUCAGACUGCAACAUCUGGAGAACAGCUCAACAGCUUCCAGACCGGGCAGAAAAGGAGGGGAGAGAGGGGGAGAGAGAGAGGAGACGAGAGGGAAGGGGGGAGGCCCAGGCUGUGGAAUAACUGUGGUUUUUCCGACUUCCCCUUAAUUUGAGGAAAAUGUGUGCUGCUGGCUGGAAUACUUUUAAUGAGUGGGUGUACAGCUCUUUCUGUUUAUAAUUUACCCAGCACUUUCCAUAAAGAGAAAGUUACGCAUCUUAUAUAAUAUUUACUUGAUGAGUCAAUGUAAUUUUUAUAUUCCAUGUCAAUGAAGCUCUGUUGAAUACAAUUGAGAGACUAAUUAAAGUAAAUCCUAGUUCCCCUUACAACUGAUCCCACAUUGCAAUGAUAUUCCAUCUGACAAAGAUGUUCUUUCAUUAUUCUCAUAAGUCUGCUCAAUAUCCACACAAAAGUGACCCUCUGAUAGGUAUUUGUGUACACACUGCGGACCGACUCUUGCUCAAAAGUACAUACAGUAUGUAGAGG
ensembl:lncRNA